rnacentral:rRNA from 1 species
AACGCGAAGAACCUUACCUGGGCUCGAAAUAUAGAGGACGAUCACAGAGAUGUGAUUUCCCGUAAGGGUCUCUAUAUAGGUGCUGCAUGGCUGUCGUCAGCUCGUGCCGUGAGGUGUUUGGUUAAGUCCAGCAACGAGCGCAACCCUUAUCGUUAGUUGCCAACGCGUCAAGGCGGGAACUCUAACGAGACUGCCUAGGUUAACUAGGAGGAAGGUGAGGAUGACGUCAAGUCCGCAUGGCCUUUAUGUCCAGGGCUACACACGUGCUACAAUGGUCGGUACAGAAGGCAGCGAAACCGCGAGGUGAAGCAAAUCCUCAAAAACCGAUCUCAGUUCAGAUUGUAGUCUGCAACUCGGCUACAUGAAGUUGGAAUUGCUAGUAAUGGCGUGUCAGCAACAACGCCGUGAAUACGUUCCCGGGCCUUGUACACACCGACUGUAC